rnacentral:sRNA from 1 species
AGCCUCUGCCCUUCCUGGGCGUUUCCUCCCUAACUUCUCAAGCCCGGACGGUUUCGCCCGGGCUUUUCUUUUUGCGUGU